AAUCGAAACUUUAAUCAUGAGUC
rnacentral:snRNA from 1 species